GAAUAUAUAAAGUCCUUCCAAUUGCUAGGUUCAGUGAUAGGAGCAAUAGACUCCACAUGUGUGGUAAUUAGAAUAGCACUAGAAAAUGAGACUGGAUAUAUAGAAGAUCUGUUCAGUCUCUUCAAGCUAUGUGAGUUGCCAGAUAUAAAAUAACUAAUGCAGUUGCCAAGAUACCAGGAUCAGGUCAUGAUUCAUGCAGCAGACAGCCAUAUUAGGAAAUACCUUUAAAAAUAACUGCAAUUUGAAGGAGGGAUAUUUUUAUCUAUAAUAACAAAACAACAGCUUUGCUUGUUAUUUACCCUGAAUGAUUUGCUAAAAGACUUUGGCUUUCUGUCAGAAUAAAGCAGAAUUAACUAUAAAGUCAUAUGUAAAGUCAGUUCACAACAGCCAUCUGUUAAUGGAAGACUGACAUCCACAAGAAAAUUCAGGUGUCUGGAUAAAUCUAGUGGAAUCUAGCACCUUCCAAUUGAUUCCCAGACAUCUGCACCAACACUUCAGAAGUGUUCUGAAUUAUCUUCCCAGUGUUUCAUCUCUCAUGGUUGAAUCCACAUCGUACAAAUAACCCAGCUCUCAUUAAGUUCCUUGGAGAUAUCAGACCUUCAGAAUUUCUGUGGAUGUACAGCGCACACAGGCAUGGGGGCUGGGUGCACCCCCACUGCAGGGUGAAGGCUCUUCAGCCACACUUGUGUCAUUGCACAGGCAUGGCAUGCCUGAAACCUUCUGGUGAAAUGCAGAAUGGGUCUUGGAAAUUGCUACCUGGCAAAAGGCUUCAGUUCCUUCAGGCUGUUGUUUUGGACCAUUCUCUCCUGGACACACCAGCAGCUGCAUCACUUCUGAGCGGCAACAGCCGGGCACACCCUGCAGCUGGGGCCAUGCCAGUGCUGAAAGAAGAUUUCCACUACGUGUCACAAAGACAAAAUCCUGCUUAUAAGUCUCCUGGCAAUAAAUACUUCUCUGGAAGCACUGUAAUGUUACUGACUUUGGUUCAUCUUGUGAUUUACUAAGUGGCCUCUCUCCCCAGCCAGGUCUUCUGCUGUUAUACUAAAGCUUAGCCCACUUUGGCUACUGUAUAUUUGAGUAGACAAUUACCACCACCUGUGUAUAAAUACCUUUCACUUGGGCUGAUUGACUUGCAUCUUCUUUUUUUGUUUUAAUAAUUUAUUCAAUUUUUCAAAAGUAUUCUGAAUUCCAAUCCUAUUUUUCAGUCCUCCAGGUAAUCCUUUCCGGACUGGGGUCAUCUGAAAAAUUAAUAAGCAUAUCCUCUAUGCCUCUGUCCAUAGCAAUAAUGAAAAUACUGAAUAAUAAUGAUGGUGAAGGACAAACCACCAUGAAACCCUUAUUGAAUUAAAGUGCAUUAGAGUAAACUAUUUUCAGUUGAUCUAUCACAGAAUUCACAGGUGUGAAUGCCUACCUGUGAUCGUCAUGGAGAUGCUGUAACAUACGGCUGCAAGUCCAACAGAAGCAGUGAUAGCACAGUGAAAAACUCUGGAAGUUAUCCUUAUUUUCCAACAGCAGUAUAAAUCCUUUCUGGAACCAUGCGUUGACCAGGGUAACAGAUGGUGUCCCGGAAAAAGGCCUCAGGAAUUUCUUUAACACCUGUGCCCAAGAACAUGGGGAAAUGUUGGUCUGUACCUGUUAUUUUUUUGAAAGUUUGCUGUUCACAUUUACCACAUGGAAAGACUCAGUUCAAGGCAUUGAGAGUUGAUUUAUUGUGGGGAUUUGGUGGCUGCAGUUCCACACCAGUAUCCUGGGGUAGUGAGCACAUGUUCUGCUCACGUGGCUCUGCGUGGUCCCAUUUACAUCAGGCUUCCUUCUGCCCUGAAACUCACAGGAUCCUUCCCCUUUUCUACAGGGCUUGCAAAGAGGUUUACUUGUUUAAAAAUAAUUGUACAUUAAACUGAGAUUAAAAGUCCUUUAUUUAUUUUUGCAUAUGAAUUAGGCAAAAUUAAGGAAAAAACAUCUCCUAUGCAUUCAAGAACUUUUUCUGUUGAAAGAAGUAAAAGAAAAAAAAAAGAAAAAAUUUGCAAUAAAAACCUGGUUUGGUUUCAAGGUUAUUUUUCUUUGGAAAAAAAAAAUGUUUCAGAAAAAAAUUUCAAUUGGUUCUAUUCAGUGUCAUUUCAUCUGUCUCUGAAGUCCCUGUAAUGACCUUUGCUGUGGCAGUUUUUGAUCAGCAAACAACAUAUAAUGGCUUAAUAUAUGAGUUGUAGCAGUAUCAAAACCAAGGAGCAAUCAUCUUUGGAAGGCAUCAGUCAACAGGAGUGAGUUCAGCUGAGAGCCACAGAGAUGCUCAGGGUGGGAGCACUUGCCCUGUGAGGACAAGCUGAGGGAGCAGGGGUUGGUUCGUCCUGGAAAAGAGACAGCUUGGGGGUACCUAAAAGUAGCCCCCAACGUCCAUAAGUUGGUCAUCAAGGAGAUGGAGCCAGGCUCUUCACAGCUGUGCCUAGUGGGAAGAUGAGAGACAAUAUGCAUAAAAUGAAAAAAAAAAGAGAAAUGCAGGCUGGAUAUAAGCAGGAGGAUGAGGUAGAGACCUCCUGAGGUCCCUUCCAGCAUGAAUUUUCCGUGAUCCUGUGAUUUGUACACUGACAAGGACACUGAUGGGAUUUUAACUUCCACUUUGAAUCUCCUCAUGCAUUUAGCUCUGAAUUGCACAUGUAGUCAAAUACGUUAUUUAGUGUUUUUCAUGGUUUAAAUAAUCUGAACAGCACCUAUGACACUCAGUGAAGAGACUCUGGCUGUAAUGUAAAAGUAAACAGCCUGUUUUAAGAGAGAGAAAUAUGUCAUGCAGUCUGAGGAAACAUCUGCAAUUAAAAUAAUUGCUGUUCCGGAAAAUGGCACUUAUUCAGGAAGAGCCACUGGUAGGUAGAAACAGUUGUAAUGCAUCAUUUUCCUAGCACUCAAUCUAUGGUAGUUUUUCACCACAGAUUUGCAGUUUAAAACUUUUGAGUGCAGUGAAAGAUGAUUUAUCUGAUCUAUAUGGUACAGUCCAAAUGUUCUGUGAUAAAAAUGAGCUAUUGAUCUGAGGAGAUUCUAAUUUAGAUCUGCUCACUUAAAAAGAGUAAUAAACUGAAACAGUCUGGGAAGCUUAUGUUUCAAAUUACUUAUCAAGGAGUUAAAAAAUUUAGUAACCUGAGCCAGCAAUAACUUUAACAGUAGCCAGAGCCCUAGAUUUUACUGAGCCAAAUUUUCCUGAACUAUUCACAGAAGUAUGUGGAUAACAGUUCUUUCUGUUACACUGAUGUCCAGAGAGAUGCUCAUUUGUAGUGGAUCUUAUGAAAAGAAAUGAAAAGUAAAAGACAUUCUGGAGAGUUAAAAACAUAACCUUAGCAGUGAUAGUGAGUAAUAGCUUUUUGGGCAUAAAGUGUUGUAAGUAAAGUAUGAAAAGGUCAGUCCUAUUUUCCCAUAUAUUUUCCAUUGUUGAAACUUGAGGUUUUGCCAAGGAUUUGGUGAGAUUUCUAUAAAAAGCUUGAUUAAUGUUUUAUUGCUGAAAAUCUAAAUGGGUACUUUGGCCAUCCAGUUCUUCAUAAUCACAC